AUUAGAUACCCUGGUAGUCCACGCUGUAAACGAUGUCGAUUUGGGGGUUGAGCUUUAAGUUUGGCGCCCGUAGCUAACGUGAUAAAUCGACCGCCUGGGGAGUACGGCCGCAAGGUUAAAACUCAAAUGAAUUGACGGGGGCCCGCACAAGCGGUGGAGCAUGUGGUUUAAUUCGAUGCAACGCGAAGAACCUUACCUGGUCUUGACAUCCACGGAAGUUUUCAGAGAUGAGAAUGUGCCUUCGGGAACCGUGAGACAGGUGCUGCAUGGCUGUCGUCAGCUCGUGUUGUGAAAUGUUGGGUUAAGUCCCGCAACGAGCGCAACCCUUAUCCUUUGUUGCCAGCGGUCCGGCCGGGAACUCAAAGGAGACUGCCAGUGAUAAACUGGAGGAAGGUGGGGAUGACGUCAAGUCAUCAUGGCCCUUACGACCAGGGCUACACACGUGCUACAAUGGCGCAUACAAAGAGAAGCGACCUCGCGAGAGCAAGCGGACCUCAUAAAGUGCGUCGUAGUCCGGAUUGGAGUCUGCAACUCGACUCCAUGAAGUCGGAAUCGCUAGUAAUCGUGGAUCAGAAUGCCACGGUGAAUACGUUCCCGGGCCUUGUACACACCGCCCGUCACACCAUGGGAGUGGGUUGCAAAAGAAGUAGGUAGCUUAACCUUCGGGAGGGCGCUUACCACUUUGUGAUUCAUGACUGGGGUGAAGUCGUAACAAGGUAACCGUAGGGGAACCUGCGGUUG
rnacentral:rRNA from 1 species